rnacentral:rRNA from 1 species
GAUUAACGCUGGCGGCGUGCCUAACACAUGCAAGUCGAACGAUGAAACUUUAAUGAACCCUUCGGGGAGAAUUAAAGCGGAUUAGUGGCGAACGGGUGAGUAACGCGUGAGUAACCUGCCUUACACAAGGGGAUAGCCUUUGGAAACGAAGAAUAAUACCCUAUAAAACCAUAAAAGUACAUGCAAUUAUGGUCAAAGUGAUAGCGGUGUAAGAUGGACUUGCGUCUGAUUAGCUAGUUGGUGAGAUAAAAGCCCACCAAGGCAACGAUCAGUAGCCGGCUUGAGAGAGUGUACGGCCACAUUGGGACUGAGACACGGCCCAGACUCCUACGGGAGGCAGCAGUGGGGAAUUUUGCACAAUGGGGGAAACCCUGAUGCAGCGACGCCGCGUGAUUUAGAAGGCCUUCGGGUUGUAAAAAUCUUUUGUAUAGGAAGAAAAUGACAGUACUAUACGAAUAAGGUCCGGCUAAUUACGUG